rnacentral:rRNA from 1 species
CACGUAGGGCGCAAGCGUUGUUCGGAGUUACUGGGCGUAAAGGGUAUGUAGGCGGUUCUUUAAGUUUGGUGUGAAAUCUCCCGGCUCAACCGGGAGGGUGCGCCGAAUACUGAGGGACUAGAGUGUGGGAGAGGAAAGUGGAAUUCCUGGUGUAGCGGUGAAAUGCGUAGAUAUCAGGAGGAACACCGGUGGUGUAGACGGCUUUCUGGACCAUAACUGACGCUGAGACACGAAAGCGUGGGUAGCAAACAGG